UACGGAGGAUGCAAGCGUUAUCCGGAUUUAUUGGGUUUAAAGGGUGCGCAGGUUGUUUGAUAAGUCAGUGGUGAAAGUCUGUCGCUUAACGGUAGGAUUGCCAUUGAUACUGUUGGACUUGAAUAUGGAUGAGGUAGGCGGAAUGUGUAGUGUAGCGGUGAAAUGCAUAGAUAUUGCACGGAACUCCGAUUGCGUAGGCAGGUCUCUGGGCAGUUACUGACGCUGAGGAGCGAAAGCAUGGGUAGCGAACA
rnacentral:rRNA from 1 species